CGCUUCUUUCCCAUCACGCCCGAAAGGUGGAAUUGAACCACUCUGCCGCUAGGCAGCUACAGGUUUGAAGCCUGCACCCCGGACCACCGAGGUUCAUCCGGGCAUUUUAAGCAGCUCUGGACCUCAGGAAUACAAGAUGCACAGAUGUUACCAUCAGAGCCUCUCUGAGAUCUGAAGUCUCUCUCCCAUGUUACUUUGAUAUAAGCCAUUACAAUAAAACAGAGGAAAUAAAAUGGAGCCACCAUUCCAGUCUUGUAACGAUCAAAAACAAUGGCAUUAUCUGCUUCCAUAAUCCUAGUGAGGGACGAGUGAGCUCUUUUCCUAAUCUGGCCAGAGGAGGAAACUUCUCCAUCCUCAUCCAUGACCUGCAGUCUUCAGACAUCGGCACCUACUUUUGUGAGCUGAACAGUGAAUGCUGGAGGGUGAAGAUCAUGGAAUUGCCAGAAAAAACUGAACAGCUGAACUCUAAUCACAACUCCUGGUUAUACUUUGUUGCUGGAGCUGGAAUUUUCACUCUUCUUUUUUAUAUAUUCAACCGCAUUGGCUUACAAAACCAUUUACAGUCUUCAACAGAAAAGUGCAUGAGAUCAUCCAAAUCUAGCUCUACGAAUGAAGAACGCCAUGAAGAACAUGGUUCUUCAAGUCAAACAUCUAAUAUCAAACAGCGAG